rnacentral:lncRNA from 10 species
AAAACAUGGAGUCAACUAAGGCUUCCAUUUAACUAGGCUAUCAAACACAAAGCCCUCAUUCUUACAAUACUCUUCUAAUGAUAGUUCCAUCUUUAUGAACAUUCCAGGAUCUCUACAUACAGUGUGAAAAAAAUAAGAGAAGAAAUGGAAGCCUAGAGGCAAGAUGACAGAAGAAACUGUAGUGUUAAUCCAGAUAAGACAUUGAAGAGCUAAACCAGGAUUUUGGUAAGACAGAUGGAGAGAUGUGAAUGGAUCUGAAUGCUACCAAGAAGGUCAAAUUCAACGGUGCUUACAGGCAUACCUUGGAAACAUUGCAGAUUUAGUUCUAGAACACCACAGUAAAGCAAAUAUUGCAAGAAAAUGAAUCACAUGAAUUUUGGGUUUCCCAGCGCACAUAAAAGUUAUGUUUACACUAUACUAUAGUCUAAGUGUGUAAUAGCAUUAUGUAUUUUAAAAGUACAUGCCUUAAUUAAAAAAUAUUUUAUUGCUAAAAAUGCUAUCAUCUGAGCCUUCAAUUAGUUAUAAUCAUUUUGCUGAUGGAGGGUCUUGCCUCAAUGUUGAUGGUUGCUGACUGAUCAGGGUAGUGUUUGUUGAUGGUUGGGGUGGCUGUGGCAAUUUCUUAAAAUAAGACAACAAUAAAGUUUGCCACAUCAAUCAAUUUUUCCUUUCAUAAAUAAUUUGUCUGUAGGAUGCAAUGCUGUUUGGUAGCAUUUUACACACAGUAGAAUUUCUUUAAAAUUGGAGUCAAUCUUCUCAAGCCCUGCCAUUUCCACAGCAGCUACAAUUACUUCCUCCACAGAAGUCUUGAACCCCUCCAAGUCAUCCAAGAGGGUUGGAAUCAACUAUUUCCAAAGUCCUGUUAAUGAUGAUAUCUUGACCUCCUUCCAUGAAUUAAUUACAAUUGUUCUUAAUAUCAUCUAGUUUGGUGAAUCCUUUCCAGAAGGUUUUUAAUUUAUCUUGUCAAGAUCCAUCAGAGGAAUCACUAUCUAUGGCAGUUAGAGUCUUCUGAAAUGUAUUUCUUAAAUAAUAAGACUUGAAAGUAAAAAUUACUCCUUUAUCCAGGGGAUGCAGAAUGAAUGUUGGGUUAGUGGUCAUGAAAGUAACAUUAAUCUCCCUGUACAUCUCUAUCAGAGCUCUUGCAUUGCUAGGCGCAUUGUCAAUGAGCAGUAACAUUUUGAAAGAAAUUUUUUUUUC